UGAUAAUGAAAGACAAGCUUGCCAACGAAUAAGGGUCAGAAGCGAGGUUGAAGAGAAAACAAGGAGUGGAGUAGGAGCAAUUGAAAGAGGACUUAUCUGAGGCAAGAAGAAAGGAGAACAAACUGAAGCAAGGUUGAGAGUCCUUUCCUGGAGCUAGCAGGACUUUUCGAAUGUCACUGUCACCUUGGGUCUCCUGAGAGAAUGGAGAAGGAUAUGUCAUUGUCGUGAGCCUUUCUGACAAGGCAGUCUCCUCUUGGAAUCAUAUUUGGUGAUGCA